ensembl:lncRNA
UAAACACACAUUAUGAAAACGUAAUAAUUUUGACGUUUUCAGACAACAGAGAGGAGUUGGUUUGCAAGAGGAGGCAUUAUCUUGAUGGUGGAGACAAACUGUCGAGCUCGGAGGAGAAAGGGAAGGGGAAAAGGAAGAAACUGAAGAAUGGUCGAUAUUCUGACGACGGCGAAGACGACGUAGUAUCGCUGGAUCCUCAGUUAAGUCAAUGUGAGAUGAAGAAGAAGAGAAAAAACACAGGUCUUAACGUCUUAAUGGAACUAGAAAAGCAAGGAUCAUGUCAGCUGAACUCAAUUAAUGAAACCAGGAAUGAA